rnacentral:rRNA from 1 species
UACGUAGGUGCGAAGCAGUUAUCGGAAUUACUGGGCGUAAAGCGUGCGCAGGCGGUUUUGUAAGUUUGUCGUGAAAUCCCCGGGCUCAACCUGGGAAUGGCGAUGAAGACUGCAAGGCUAGAAUCUGGCAGAGGGGGGUAGAAUUCCACGUGUAGCAGUGAAAUGCGUAGAGAUGUGGAGGAAUACCGAUGGCGAAGGCAGCCCCCUGGGAUAACACUGACGCUCAUGCACGAAAGCGUGGGGAGCAAACAGGGAUUAGAACGUACCGUGAU